rnacentral:rRNA from 1 species
UACGAAGGGGGCUAGCGUUGCUCGGAAUCACUGGGCGUAAAGCGCACGUAGGCGGCUUUUUAAGUCAGGGGUGAAAUCCUGGAGCUCAACUCCAGAACUGCCUUUGAUACUGAGAAGCUCGAGUCCGGGAGAGGUGAGUGGAACUGCGAGUGUAGAGGUGAAAUUCGUAGAUAUUAGGAAGAACACCAGUGGCGAAGGCGGCUCACUGGCCCGGUACUGACGCUGAGGCGCGAAAGCGUGGGGAGCAAACAGG